rnacentral:rRNA from 1 species
GACGAACGCUGGCGGCGUGCUUAACACAUGCAAGUCGAACGGAAAGGCCCUGCUUUUGUGGGGGGCUCGAGUGGCGAACGGGUGAGUAACACGUGAGUAACCUGCCCUAGACUUUGGGAAAACGUCAGGAAACUGGGGCUAAUACCGGAUAGGAGCGCCUGCUGCAUGGUGGGGGUUGGAAAGUUUCGGCGGUUGGGGAUGGACUCGCGGCUUAUCAGCCUGCUGGUGGGGUAGUGGCUUACCAAGGCUUUGACGGGUAGCCGGCCUGAGAGGGUGACCGGCCACAUUGGGACUGAUAUACGGCCCAGACUCCUACGGGAGGCAGCAGUGGUGAAUAUUGGACAAAGGGCGGAAGCCUGAUGCAGCAACGCCGCGUGCGGGAUGACGGCCUUCGGGUUGUAGCCCGCUUUCGCCUGUGACGAAGCGUGAGUGACGGUAAUGGGUAAAGAAGCACCGGCUAACUACGUG